rnacentral:tRNA from 3 species
AGGGGCGUCGGUUAACGGUAAACCAGCGGUCUCCAAAACCGCCAAUGGGGGUUCGAUUCCCUCCGCCCCUGCCA